GAUGAACGCUGGCGGCGUGCUUAACACAUGCAAGUCGAACGAUGAAGCCCAGCUUGCUGGGUGGAUUAGUGGCGAACGGGUGAGUAACACGUGAGUAACCUGCCCUUAACUCUGGGAUAAGCCUGGGAAACUGGGUCUAAUACCGGAUAGGAGCGUCCACCGCAUGGUGGGUGUUGGAAAGAUUUAUCGGUUUUGGAUGGACUCGCGGCCUAUCAGCUUGUUGGUGAGGUAAUGGCUCACCAAGGCGACGACGGGUAGCCGGCCUGAGGGGGUGACCGGCCACACUGGGACUGAGACACGGCCCAGACUCCUACGGGAGGCAGCAGUGGGGGAUAUUGCACAAUGGGCGCAAGCCUGAUGCAGCGACGCCGCGUGAGGGAUGACGGCCUUCGGGUUGUAAACCUCUUUCAGUAGGGAAGAAGCGAAAGUGACGGUACCUGCAGAAGAAGCACCGGCUAACUACGUG
rnacentral:rRNA from 1 species